UAUCCUGUCUGAAUAUGGGGGGACCAUCCUCCAAGGCUAAAUACUCCUGACUGACCGAUAGUGAACCAGUACCGUGAGGGAAAGGCGAAAAGAACCCCGGCGAGGGGAGUGAAAAAGAACCUGAAACCGUGUACGUACAAGCAGUGGGAGCACGCUUAGGCGUGUGACUGCGUACCUUUUGUAUAAUGGGUCAGCGACUUAUAUUCUGUAGCAAGGUUAACCGAAUAGGGGAGCCGAAGGGAAACCGAGUCUUAACUGGGCGUUAAGUUGCAGGGUAUAGACCCGAAACCCGGUGAUCUAGCCAUGGGCAGGUUGAAGGUUGGGUAACACUAACUGGAGGACCGAACCGACUAAUGUUGAAAAAUUAGCGGAUGACUUGUGGCUGGGGGUGAAAGGCCAAUCAAACCGGGAGAUAGCUGGUUCUCCCCGAAAGCUAUUUAGGUAGCGCCUCGUGAAUUCAUCUCCGGGGGUAGAGCACUGUUUCGGCAAGGGGGUCAUCCCGACUUACCAACCCGAUGCAAACUGCGAAUACCGGAGAAUGUUAUCACGGGAGACACACGGCGGGUGCUAACGUCCGUCGUGAAGAGGGAAACAACCCAGACCGCCAGCUAAGGUCCCAAAGUCAUGGUUAAGUGGGAAACGAUGUGGGAAGGCCCAGACAGCCAGGAUGUUGGCUUAGAAGCAGCCAUCAUUUAAAGAAAGCGUAAUAGCUCACUGGUCGAGUCGGCCUGCGCGGAAGAUGUAACGGGGCUAAACCAUGCAC
rnacentral:rRNA from 1 species